rnacentral:rRNA from 1 species
AAUGAACGCUGGCGGCGUGCUUAACACAUGCAAGUCGAACGAGAAAGCACCUUCGGGUGUGAGUAGAGUGGCGCACGGGUGAGUAACACGUAGGUAACCUGCCCAUUGAUGGGGGAUAACCAGGAGAAAUUCUGGCUAAUACCGCAUAAGUUGGUAACAAGAAAGGAUGCUUCGGCAUUCGUCGAUGGAUGGGCCUGCGGGACAUUAGCUUGAUGGUGGGGUAAUGGCCUACCAUGGCUACGAUGUCUAGCUGGUCUGAGAGGAUGAUCAGCCACACUGGAACUGAGACACGGUCCAGACUCCUACGGGAGGCAGCAGUGGGGAAUAUUGCGCAAUGGGGGAAACCCUGACGCAGCAACGCCGCGUGAGUGAGGAAGGCCUUCGGGUUGUAAAGCUCUGUCAGAUGGGAAGAAUGGUUAUUGGUCUAAUAGGCCUUUAAUUUGACGGUACCAUCAAAGGAAGCACCGGCUAACUUCGUGCCAGCCGCCGCCGUAACAC